rnacentral:rRNA from 1 species
UACGUAGGCAGCAAGCGUUGUUCGGAAUUACUGGGCGUAAAGAGUGUGUAGGUGGUGUCGUAAGUUUGGUGUGAAAUCUCCCGCUUAACUGGGAGGGUGCGCCGAAGACUGCGAUGCUGGAGUAUGGGAGAGGAAAGCGGAAUUCCUGGUGUAGCGGUGAAAUGCGUAGAUAUCAGGAGGGACACCUGCGGUGUAGACGGCUUUUCUGGACCAUUACUGACACUGAGACACGAAAGCGUGGGUAGCAAACAGG